rnacentral:rRNA from 1 species
UACGUAGGGGGCUAGCGUUGUCCGGAAUCAUUGGGCGUAAAGAGCGUGUAGGCGGUCCGGUAAGUCCGCUGUGAAAACUCGAGGCUCAACCUCGAGACGUCGAUGGAAACCAUCUGGCUAGAGUCCGGAAGAGGAGAGUGGAAUUCCUGGUGUAGCGGUGAAAUGCGCAGAUAUCAGGAAGAACACCCGUGGCGAAGGCGGCUCUCUGGUACGUGACUGACGCUGAGACGCGAAAGCGUGGGGAGCAAACAGG